rnacentral:tRNA from 1 species
GGCUCAGUCGGUAGAGCGUCGCCUUGGUAAGGCGGAGGUCACCAGUUCGAUUCUGGUC